GGCGCGUGUGCACCGCUCACAAAGUGGUUGUGAUAUGCUGAUACGAGCGUUCAUAUCACAGCCAGCUUUGAUGAGCGUGGCGUCGCGUC